AAUCUUGAGUCUUUGAGGCCUUAAAGUGUUGUAAAAGCUACAGUUCUCCUCCUCCUUUCUUCUAAGUGUUGAGAUCAUCCAAAAGAGGAGUGAAAACUUAUAAGGGUUGUCUCCUAAGCUCGUCAAAUGGAGAAAAGCUGUAAAAGGUGUUGAAUCUCAGAUUUUGAUGAUGAAGUCAAUUGUCAUCUGUUAUCUAAUCCAU
rnacentral:lncRNA from 1 species